UCUGAAUAAGAGGGAGGAAUCAGGUUUCCACUCACACAUAUGAAAUCACCUUUAAAAUACCCUGGCCCAGCUCUUCUUGUUGAAGACACCUCUGGAAUAUCCCAAAAUGGCAGGAGCCAUGGGCAAACAGGAUCUCAAGAGCGCUGAGGUACCUCCAAGCAGUUUGGCCCCAGUCCUUCACCCUGCAGCUCCAUCACCAAGGACUUACCUGCCUACACGGAGGCUGGGUUGGCACUCAGAGAACUUCUGUGUGCCAGCAGACAGGAGCAAGCUCAGAUUAGCUUCAUGACUGCGUAGCCAGCUAGACUUCAGAAGGCUGCAUUACUGCAUGCAAAUAAAUGUGAAAACCCUUCUGAGAUGGUACUGGAA
rnacentral:lncRNA from 1 species